GUCAAGGAUCUCUCCGGCACAGACAUCAACGUUAUCAACACAUCGUCAGACGGAGUGCCGUCUUUGGAGGGGGCUCUGAGGAGGCCCGGGCCGUGGACGGGCGCCAGCGCCUUCCCCCCGCGGGCCCGCCAGUCUGUUUGGCCGCUUUCGCAUCAGAACCGAUGCCGCACUGCGGAGCGCGCCUGCGUCGCGUUUCAGGACGUCCACGGAGUGCCGAGCCCGCCCCUGUCUGAGCCUCAUGGACCGCCGGGCGCUCGGCUGGUUUGAGCGCUUAUCCCGUGACCCCAGAAUGUUGACUUGGACCCACCGGGGAGCUGGUAUCGGAUCGGUCAUCUUGGGACACGGUGGCUGACGCAGUGACGGACACGUGACAACGACCCGUGAAUAUACCACCGAUAGCAUCACUCCCUAGCUUGGCAGGGCCUGGUCUAAUUGACUGUGGCUGUUAGAAAAUCAUUACUUUUUUUGGAUUGUACAUGCACACAUAACAACAAACACACUGUCGUGCACACAUACACACACAUAUAUGUAAAUUAGACAUGUAUUUAUGUGUAUGAGUGUGUACAGUAUAUAUGAAAUACAGUCGUCUAUAUUUGUAAAGUGCAAUUCAUGAAUUGCACUACUAUUCAAAAGUGCUGCACUUUCAAAUAUAACAACACUGAACACACUGUAAUUCAGAACAGUAGUGAAUAAAAAAAAAGAAGGGCAUAAACAUACAAGCAGUAGUAAAAGCAAUGUAACAUUCUAAACUUAAAAUUCUAUGCAGCAAAAGUGCACCUUAACCAUACAAAUGAGGAAAAAGAAAAUAACGCAUAACACACACACACAGGGUGCAUAUAUGUGUACCCUAUGCAUGUGUUAUGUGUUCAUUUCUCGUCUCUCUUCCUUUUCCCCCUGCAUCCCUAUCUCUUGAAAAGCAUUCGUUUGACAUCCUUGAGAUAUGCACCAAGGAGUGCUUGGGGCAAGUCAUUUAAAUAAAAUGACAUCAAACACAA